AAUUCUGGACACUGCAGGGACGGAACAAUUCACAGCCAUGAGAGAUCUGUACAUGAAGAAUGGCCAGGGCUUUGCGUUAGUGUACUCCAUCACAGCCCAGUCCACCUUCAACGAUCUGCAAGACCUACGAGAGCAGAUCCUCAGAGUCAAAGACACUGACGAUGUUCCGAUUGAUUCUGGUGGGUAAUAAAUGUGAUCUGGAGGAUGAGCGUGUUGUGGGGAAGGAACAGGGGCAGAACCUGGCCAGGACAGUGGAGCAGCUGUGCUUUCCUGGAAGUCCUCCGCAAAGU